CUCCGGUUGAUCCUGCCGGACCCGACUGCUAUCAGAGUGGGACUAAGCCAUGCGAGUCAACAUAGCAAUAUGUGGCAUACGGCUCAGUAACACGUAGUCAACAUGCCCAGGGGACGUGGAUAACCUCGGGAAACUGAGGAUAAACCGCGAUAGGUCAUCACUUCUGGAAUGGGUAAUGACUUAAAUCUAUAUGGCCCCUGGAUUGGACUGCGGCCGAUCUGGCUGUUGGUGAGGUAAUGGCCCACCAAACCUGUAACCGGUACGGGCUCUGAGAGGAGGAGCCCGGAGAUGGGCACUGAGACAAGGGCCCAGGCCCUAUGGGGCGCAGCAGGCGCGAAACCUCUGCAAUAGGCGAAAGCUUGACAGGGUUACUCUGAGUGAUUUCCGUUAAGGAGAUCUUUUGGCACCUCUAAAAAUGGUGCAGAAUAAGGGGUGGGCAAGUCUGGUGUCAGCCGCCGCGGUAAUACCAGCACCCCGAGUGGUCGGGACGUUUAUUGGGCCUAAAGCAUCCGUAGCCGGUUCUACAAGUCUUCCGUUAAAUCCACCUGCUUAACAGAUGGGCUGCGGAAGAUACUAUAGAGCUAGGAGGCGGGAGAGGCAAGCGGUACUCGAUGGGUAGGGGUAAAAUCCGUUGAUCCAUUGAAGACCACCAGUGGCGAAGGCGGCUUGCCAGAACGCGCUCGACGGUGAGGGAUGAAAGCUGGGGGAGCAAACCGGAUUAGAUACCCGGGUAGUCCCAGCUGUAAACGAUGCAGACUCGGUGAUGAGUUGGCUUAUUGCUAACUCAGUGCCGCAGGGAAGCCGUUAAGUUUGCCGCCUGGGGAGUACGGUCGCAAGACUGAAACUUAAAGGAAUUGGCGGGGGAGCA
rnacentral:rRNA from 1 species